rnacentral:sRNA from 1 species
GCUUUCAACAUCCCCGUUCCGGAGUCAAGCGAACUGCAGGCGGAAAGCCGCCAUGGUCGCUGUUCGGAGCUGAAAGC